GAGGAACAGUGGGUUCUUUCUCCAGUUGUUCUGUCCUUACUGGGGAGGAGCCCAGGGACAUAUUUCACAGCUAAGUCAACUGCUUUUCUUCAAAUUCAGAUUUAAUCCUUGAGUGAAAUGAGUCACUGGCUCAUCCAGUUAAGAUCAUCACCCACUUUCCUAACAAAACUUCUCUUCAAAGAAGGACUCGCUCAUCCAUCAGGUGGACCUCCACAGGAACAAAUCAUAUCCAUGUCAGGCGGCACCAAACCUAAAUCUGCUUCUGCCUCAGCAGACAGGACAUGUUGAGUUUGGCCAGUGAGUGCUGCAGGAUACUGGAGGGAGGGCAACAGAGAGGAAGGUUGUUCCCAAGAGAACUACACAAACAAUGACUGAAUGAAGAGCAAAUAAUUAUUACAUUAACAAUUGUCUAAGUACUCUAUUUUCUAAUGCAAGACCAUCUUCCACAGGAAGCCCUUCAUUGACCUGCUCAGAUGAACUCAGCUAUGUGACCUGCAAGUUUAUUCUUCCACUUAUUAUACUUACUUUAUCACUAUUUGUUCAGUGACUUCCCCAGGAGCAAUUAAAGCAGAAACCAUGCAUGUCUUAUUUGUUCAGUAUUCUGUCCUAAUAUCUUAGCAAGUAUAUGUCAUAGAGCUACUAUUUAUUGAUUCUUAACUAGUAUAAGAGUUAGAUGUCUAAAAUGUGACUCCA
rnacentral:lncRNA from 1 species